UGUGGCUGUCUGCUGCAGUGCCGUGUCUACCGUCUCCAGGUUCUGCUGUGGUAACUUACUGAGGUCGUGUGGUUCUGCUGUUAUAGACGGGUCUGUUGUCUGCUGAGUUAUAAAUCUCACCCUUUUUUUUUUACUGUACUGUUCCACGGUGUGUCUGCUGUGCCUACUCUAGCUACCACAACACCCACCUCCUACCACUGUGACUCAGCACCCAAGUUGAGGUUCUCGCGGUCAGUUAAACUUCUGUCGCAGUCAGGAGGAGGAAGUUGUUGAAGGUGCCCCCAGGCGUUAGUUCUCCAGCACCGGCGAUGGACACGUCUCCACCAAACGAACCUAAUGUUGCCUCUCCUCUCAUGGACCAGCCGCCGCCCUACAGUGCUGUGGCUCCUCCGACUAGUUAUGAGGUCAAACCGUACCAGCCGACGACCACCACGACGAUCCAACCGACUCCCGUAUUGGUCCAACAUUCUGCCAUAGUGGUCCAACCCGCCCCUGUCUCUAGGAACGUUGUUGUGGUCGCCGCUACCACCUGUCCCGCCUGCCAGGCGGGGAUCCUGCAGUCUGACUUCACCUUGUGUGGGAUCUGCCUGGCCAUCUGGUUCUUUCCCUGGGGUCUCAUAUGCUGUUUCCUCAUGAAAGAAUCUCGCUGCACCAACUGCCGAGCUGUGUACACCUAGAUGUGACCUCUCUACUGCCUCUGCUUCAUCUCACGUCACAUCUGUUAGCAUUGACGUCCUCACUAAGCUUGUAUUACGUCACCACCUCGUUCAGGGACGUCAUUCAGCCGUUUGGUUGUGAGGUGCCGCAUCGAAUUUUUAAGGAAGUGAUGUCAUUGGUUCAUAUGACAUCAGCUAUUUCUUUGACGUCAGCUCUUCUUUGACGCCAGCUACUUUAACGUCACCUACUUCUUUGACGUCAGUUACUUCAGUGACAUUUGCUACUUCAACGACGUCAGCUAUUUUUAUUAUGUCAGCUACUUCUAUGACUCAGCUAUUUCUCUGACGUCAGCUACUGGUUUCACGUCAGCUGUUUAUCUUUUAACUGGUCGUAUUAUAUUUAAUCUUUAAGCUUCAGGUAAGCUAAAGCAUUUAUUCUUCUUUGUUUGGCAAUAAUGACCAUGCAGGUACAAGUAAUUACAGGUACUGUAUAUAAAACUCAACAGAAUAUUACACUAUAUGCUGAGGAAAGUCCGUUACAUUGAAGGUCCUUUAGAUGUGAAACCUCCAUCUAACAAACUAGCAGGGUGUCCCAUAGGUUUCCAUACAACGUAUCACCAACGCCAUUACAAGCAUAACUCCAGCUGUGCUUGAACGUGUUCUUCAGCAGUGGAGGACACGCAUUGAAGAGUG